AACGAACGCUGGCGGCGUGCCUAACACAUGCAAGUCGAGCGAGAAAGUCUUCGGACGAGUAAAGCGGCGGACGGGUGAGUAAUACCUAGGUAAUCUACCUUUGGGUACGGAAUAACUAUGCGAAAGCGUAGCUAAUACCGUAUGUGGUUUCAUAUCGUUGGAUGUGAAAAGAAAGGGGGUCGGUAAGAUCUCUCGCCAAG
rnacentral:rRNA from 1 species